UACGUAGGGGGCAAGCGUUAUCCGGAUUUACUGGGUGUAAAGGGAGCGUAGACGGUGAAGCAAGUCUGAAGUGAAAGGCGGGGGCUCAACCCCCGGACUGCUUUGGAAACUGUGCAGCUGGAGUGCAGGAGAGGUAAGCGGAAUUCCUGGUGUAGCGGUGAAAUGCAUAGAUAUCACGCAGAACGCCGAUUGCGAAGGCAGCAUACCGGCGCCCAACUGACGCUGAGGCACGAAAGCGUGGGGAUCGAACAGG
rnacentral:rRNA from 1 species